rnacentral:rRNA from 1 species
UACGGAGGGAGCUAGCGUUGUUCGGAAUUACUGGGCGUAAAGCGUGCGUAGGCGGUGACUCAAGUCAGAGGUGAAAGCCUGGAGCUCAACUCCAGAACUGCCUCUGAAACUAGGUCGCUAGAAUCUGGGAGAGGUGAGUGGAAUUCCGAGUGUAGAGGUGAAAUUCGUAGAUAUUGGGAAGAACACCGGUGGCGAAGGCGGCGCUCUGGACCGAGACUGACGCUGAGGCGCGAAAGCGUGGGGAGCAAACAGG